UUAAUUUUUUUACAAAGUUUUUAUUCUUUGCUUAUUGCUGGAUAAAUUGUCCCAAAAUACUGAAAAUUGCUAGGACAUUUUGUCUGCUGUUUGUCAGCAGUGACAUUUUCAAUGAUAUCCAAGAUAGAGAGAGAUCCAAUUACCCAAGUUUACCCAAACACCAGCGUCAGGUGUGAUAAAUUUACUCCUAUUUCAGCACAUUUACUUUACUUGGCUCUCGUUUUAUGAAAAUAUUCAUUGGAAUGCCAGUGCUUUAACAUAACAAAUUUUGUGACAAAAUAAAAAUACCAUUAUAAAUAGGAACAAUUAAGAAAUUAAGACAUAACAUUAUUAAAGUGUUGUAUAUAUAUGGUUUUAAAGAUGUUUGGUUUAGUCUACUUUAAAAAGGUGGUUUAGUCUACUUUGAAAAGGAUAGUACACUUGUAAGUGUGCGACAAAAUCUCAGAGACUUGACAUUCGAAGUUUUCAAGUGAAAAUCAAAAUGUUCCAUGAAAUGGGGCGCAGAAGACUAUGAGGAAAGUAUUAUUAUUACCAGAGAUGGUUCAACUGAUGGAACAUAAUCCAACCACAAUAAAAAGAUUUGGAUUGCGCAAGUUUUGCAGUGCUGCCUUUUACCUGAUGGUGAAACUUAUUUCCGGCCAUAAAUCCGAGGGAGACACAAGAACGGUCAAGAGGUCAGGGUCUGGCGGGGAACAAGCAUGACAUAAAGCCUGUGCUUGAUGCCGUCAUCAUUUCUGCCUGCAAAGGUUAUGUCUGGAUGUGGUGCAAAGACUACAGCAAAACAGUGCCAGAUGACACCUCCUUCAACAAGGCAGUGACACUCCAAAUAGACUACUCCAGGAAAUAAAUGAAAUCAUCUUGUUUAAAUUGAGACUAAAAAUAGGGGGUGAUUUUUUAAUUUUUACCCUGUCAUAAUGUGAUCAAUUCAACUACAACAAAAAUAUUGGUACUGUCAGUACA